ensembl:snRNA U1 U1 spliceosomal RNA
AUACGUACCUUGUGGGGGAGAUACCGUGAUGAAGAAGGCGGUUCACCCAGGGUGAGGCUCAGCCCUGCGAAUUCCCCAAAUGUGGGAGUGGGGGACUGUGUUCAUGCUCUACCCUG